UGGGGAAUAUUGCACAAUGGGGGAAACCCUGAUGCAGCGACGCCGCGUGAGCGAAGAAGGCUUUCGAGUCGUAAAGCUCUGUCCUAUGAGAAGAUAAUGACGGUAUCAUAGGAGGAAGCCCUGGCUAAAUACGUGCCAGCAGCCGCGGUAAUACGUAUGGGGCGAGCGUUGUCCGGAAUUAUUGGGCGUAAAGGGUACGUAGGUGGUUUUUUAAGUCAGGUGUCAAAGCGUGGAGCUUAACUCCAUUAAGCACUUGAAACUGAAAGACUUGAGUGAAGGAGAGGAAAGUGGAAUUCCUAGUGUAGCGGUGAAAUGCGCAGAUAUCAGGAGGAACACCGGUGGCGAAGGCGGGUCUCUGGGCCGUUACUGACGCUGAGGAGCGAAAGCGUGGGGAGCGAACAGG
rnacentral:rRNA from 1 species